rnacentral:tRNA from 1 species
UCCCGGCUAGCUCAGUCGGUAGAGCGUCAGACUCUUAUGCAAACAAGGGUUUCCGAGGUUAUCUCGGAGUUUAUCUGAAUGUCGUGGGUUCGAGCCCCACGUUGGGAG